GCCUUUAUAGCUUAAUUUUAAAGCACAGCUCUGAAAAGGCUAAGAUGGUUAUUUAACCUAAUGGCA
rnacentral:tRNA from 1 species